GGUUUGAUCAUGGCUCAGAUUGAACGCUGGCGGGAUGGCUUUACACAUGCAAGUCGAACGGCAGCACGGACUUCGGUCUGGUGGCGAGUGGCGAACGGGUGAGUAAUGUAUCGAACGCUCAGUAGCGGGGAUAACUACGCGAAAGCGUAGCUAAUACCGCAUAUUGCCCUUCGGUGGUGCUGGGGACCUUCGGGCCUCGCAAUUAUUGAGCACCAUAUCGGAUUAGCUAGUUGGUGGGGUAACGUUCACCAAGGCGACGAUCCGUAGCUGGUUUGAGAGGACGACCAGCCACACUGGGACUGAGACACGGCCCAGACUCCUACGGGAGGCAGCAGUGGGGAAUUUUGGACAAUGGGGGGAAACCCCAUCCAGCCAUCCCGCGUGUGCGAUGAAGGCCUUCGGAUUGUAAAGCACUUUUGGCAGGAAGAAACGGCACGGGAUAAUACCCCGUGCAACUGACGGUACCCGCAGAAUAAGCACCGGCUAACUACGUGCCAGCAGUCGCGGUAAUACGUAGGGUGCAAGCGUUAAUCGGAAUUACUGGGUUAAAGCGUGCGCAGGCGGUUCGGAAAGAAAGAUGUGAAAUCCCCAGAGCUAACUUUGGAACUGCAUUUUUAACUACCGAGCUAGAGUGUGUCAGAGGGAGGUGGAAUUCCGCGUGUAGCAGUGAAUGCAGAGUACGCGGAGGAACACCGAUGGCGAAGGCAGCCUCCUGGGAUAAAAGACACUGACGCUCAUGCACGAAAGCGUGGGGAGCAAACAGGAUUAGAUACCCCGGUAGUCCACGCCCUAAACGAUGUCAACUAGCUGUUGGGGCUUCGGGCCUUCGGUAGCGCAGCUAACGCGCAGUGGUUGACCCUCGCCUGGGGAGUACGGUCGCAAGAUUAAAAACCUAAAGGAAUUGACGGGGACCCGCACGCGGUGGAUGAUGUGGAUUAAUUCGAUGCAACGCGAAAAAACCUUACCUACUCCUUGAUAUGUCUGAAUCCUGAAGAGAUUUUGGGAGUGCUCGCAAGAGAACCGAACACAGGUGCUGCAUGGCUGUCGCUAGCUCGUGUCGAGAUGUUGGGUUAAGUCCUGGCAACGAGCGCAACCUCCUUGUCAUUAGUUGCUACGAAAGGGCACUCUAAUGAGACUGCCGGUGACAAACCGGAGGAAGGUGGGGAUGACGUCAAGUCCUCAUGGCCCUUAUGGGUAGGGCUUCACACGUCAUACAAUGGUCGGGACAGAGGGUCGCCAACCCGCGAGGGGAGCCAAUCCCAGAAACCCGAUCGGGUCCGGAUCGCAGUCUGCAACCUGACUGCGUGAAGUCGGAAUCGCUAGUAAUCGCGGAUCAGCAUGUCGCGGUAAUACGUUCCCGGGUCUUGUACACACCGCCCGUCACACCAGUGAGUGGGUUUUACCACAGAAGCAGUUAGCCUAACCGUAAGGAGGGCGAUUACCGCAGGAUUCAUGACUGGGUGAAGUCGCACAAGGUAA
rnacentral:rRNA from 1 species